GCACAAAUUCUUCAUGCCCACAACCACAGGAAGCGUCCAAAACCCUUCUCCCUCUCUCAUGAUUCCUCCUACUACGUCAAUCCCUUCUUCCUAUCCUUCUCCUACUGGUACCCACCCUAACUUCCCCUUCCAAUUCCCACAGCAAUUCCUCCAUAUCCCUUCGUAUCCACCUCCCCAUAACAACCAAACCCAUACCCAUACCCAGCACCACCCUCCUCCUGUCUCUAACAUGCCACCACAGCGUUCUAUGUCAUAUCCUACACCGCCUCUUCAACCUCAGCCCCAACAGCACCAAAAUCUUUCUCCUCGCAAAAAUAAUGAGCGACGUGGGGCUGAAAUAAUGGCCCUUCUCCGCCCACCUGCUUCUCCGCCACUUAAUCAAGACCCGUCACCAACACCGCCUCAGGAGCAUCAGCAUAGCCCG
rnacentral:misc_RNA from 1 species